rnacentral:rRNA from 1 species
CAACAACUCUCAGCAACGGAUAUCUUGGCUCCUGCAACGAUGAAGAACGCAGC